AUUGAACGCUGGCGGCAGGCCUAACACAUGCAAGUCGAGCGGAUGAAGGGAGCUUGCUCCUGGAUUCAGCGGCGGACGGGUGAGUAAUGCCUAGGAAUCUGCCUGGUAGUGGGGGAUAACGUCCGGAAACGGGCGCUAAUACCGCAUACGUCCUGAGGGAGAAAGUGGGGGAUCUUCGGACCUCACGCUAUCAGAUGAGCCUAGGUCGGAUUAGCUAGUUGGUGGGGUAAAGGCCUACCAAGGCGACGAUCCGUAACUGGUCUGAGAGGAUGAUCAGUCACACUGGAACUGCGACACGGUCCAGACUCCUACGGGAGGCAGCAGUGGGGAAUAUUGGACAAUGGGCGAAAGCCUGAUCCAGCCAUGCCGCGUGUGUGAAGAAGGUCUUCGGAUUGUAAAGCACUUUAAGUUGGGAGGAAGGGCAGUAAGUUCAUACCUUGCUGUUUUGACGUUACCAACAGAAUAAGCACCGGCUAACUUCGUG
rnacentral:rRNA from 1 species